GUACACUCCUGCGGGAGGCAGCAGUGGGGAAUUUUGGACAAUGGGCGAAAGCCUGAUCCAGCAAUGCCGCGUGAGUGAAGAAGGCCUUCGGGUUGUAAAGCUCUUUUGUCAGGGAAGAAACGGUGAGAGCUAAUAUCUCUUGCUAAUGACGGUACCUGAAGAAUAAGCACCGGCUAACUACGUGCCAGCAGCCGCGGUAAUACGUAGGGUGCAAGCGUUAAUCGGAAUUACUGGGCGUAAAGCGUGCGCAGGCGGUUUUGUAAGUCUGAUGUGAAAUCCCCGGGCUCAACCUGGGAAUUGCAUUGGAGACUGCAAGGCUAGAAUCUGGCAGAGGGGGGUAGAAUUCCACGUGUAGCAGUGAAAUGCGUAGAUAUGUGGAGGAACACCGAUGGCGAAGGCAGCCCCCUGGGUCAAGAUUGACGCUCAUGCACGAAAGCGUGGGGAGCAAACAGGAUUAGAUACCCUUGUAGUCCCAUGAU
rnacentral:rRNA from 1 species